GGGGAUACUGGGGGAGGGAGGGUCUGGGCGCGUAGGAGGUGAUGAGCCCUCUGGGUGUUGUAUGGGGGCGCUCAUAUGGGUUUGGGAUCCGCUGGAUGCCCAGGGAGGGCCCUGCUCUAGGAACCGGACCUAUGGCAAAGCCUGGACAUGCCUGGAGCCGUCCUAAAUCACAGGAGGAAGAGGAGGAGGAUCCAGUGGAGGCCAUGGUGUCACGGACGGGCUGUGCAGAGCAGCACUGGGCACUGCAGGAGUGCAUGGCAGAGCAGCGGGACUGGCGGCGCUGCCAGGCUCAGGUCCAGGCCUUCCGGCAGUGCAUGGCACGGCAGCAGCGCCCACACCCUGAGGAGCUGCACCCCAACCCACCCCAAUGCUCCCCCCAUGGAGAUUGAAGCUCCCAGGACUGAACCUCCAGUAGGGACACUGCACCAGGCACCCUGACAGCUCUAUCAGUCCCCCAGAGAUGUGGGCUGUGCUAUGGGACACAUAUCCUGUUAUUUUUCCUAUUUUUUUUUUUUAAAGUGGAUUGUUAUCUUGCUUCAAUCAUCUUCAUUUUAAGCCAGGAAAUUAAAUGUGAUGGCAUUUCUCCUAGCUGAAGAACUCAUGUCUUUCUGCAAAGCACAGAGGGAACUGCUGCACUAUGGCAGUACCAUACAAUAAAGGUUUAAUCAAUGAGGCAGCAGCCCAAAGCACUGGGGUACUCACACCAGGAUUUCCACUCUGCCUUUCUCAAAGCUUUCAGCCUCUGGAAGGUGAGCUGCUCUCUUCUGGGAAGGCCCAAAAAUAUUUGGGGUGGGAGAAAAAGGGAGGUGAGGUGCAGCCCCACUGAACCUCGUGGCAAAUUAGCUGUAAAAAUGGACUCAAAUCCUCUCUUGGUUUGGAAGGGAAACUUGAGAUUUCUGUAGGUCUUCUACAGACCCCAGAUAUAGCAAGGAAAUGGCUCAUUUCCUAAUGAAAUGUAUCAGAAAAUACAUCUUUUUCUAAUCUCCUCUAAGCAUCCAAAAUAAGGCUGAAAUUCAAUUAGAGCAUACCUACCCAAUGAUCAGGUGGUCUCAGCCUAAAUUAAAGCAGCUUUAGAAUCACAGAAUGGUUUGGGUUGGAAGAACCUUAAGGAUCGCCCAGUUCCAACCUCCCUGCCUUAGGCAUUCAGAAAUACAAGGAGAAGAGCAAAAACUUGGGUGCUGUAACCUCUUCCACUCUUUGUCCACGUGGAUACCUACAAGCAGCAGCUCCCUUCCCCUACAAAGACAGGCUGAGGGAGCUGGGCUUGUUCAGCAUGGAGAAGAGAAGCUGCGGGGUGACCUCAGUGCAGCCUGCAGUGCCUGAAGGGAGCCUGCAGACAGGAGGGGAGUCAGCUCUUGGAAAGGGGAGAUGGCAGCAGGACAAGGGGAAAUGGUUUGGAGUUGAGGGAGGGCAGCUGGAGGUUGGAUGUCAGGGGGAAGUUGUUUAGAGAGAGAGUGGUGAGGUGCUGGAACAGCUGCCCAGAGAGGCUGUGAUGCCCCGUCCAUCCCUGGAGGUGUUGGAGGCCAGGUUGGAUGGGGCCCUGGGCAGCCUGGGCUGCUGUGAGCUGGGGAGGUUGGUGGCCCUGCAUUGGUGGG